AACCUCCUGCCGUGUUCGCGAUUGCCAUAUAUUCCUUGAACCAUUUAUGUGCAUCGGUUGCGGAAUUUUGUUCGAUGGGCGUGAGCGUCGCUAGUCCGAUGGACCCGAAAUUGAACUAACUGUGACCACCUUUGAACCGUAAGGUUCGGGAUGCCGGCAAAGACGGCACAGGCGGGGCUAAU
rnacentral:other from 1 species